rnacentral:rRNA from 1 species
UUGAACGCUGGCGGCAUGCCUUACACAUGCAAGUCGCACGGCAGCACGGGUGCUUGCACCUGGUGGCGCGUGGCGAACGGGUGAGUAAUACAUCGGAACAUGUCCUGUAGUGGGGGAUAGCCCGGCGAAAGCCGGAUUAAUACCGCAUACGAUCCACGGAUGAAAGCGGGGGACCUUCGGGCCUCGCGCUAUAGGGUUGGCCGAUGGCUGAUUAGCUAGUUGGUGGGGUAAAGGCCUACCAAGGCGACGAUCAGUAGCUGGUCUGAGAGGACGACCAGCCACACUGGGACUGAGACACGGCCCAGACUCCUACGGGAGGCAGCAGUGGGGAAUUUUGGACAAUGGGCGAAAGCCUGAUCCAGCAAUGCCGCGUGUGUGAAGAAGGCCUUCGGGUUGUAAAGCACUUUUGUCCGGAAAGAAAUCCUUGACUCUAAUACAGUCGGGGGAUGACGGUACCGGAAGAAUAAGCACCGGCUAACUACGUG